UACGGGGGGGGCAAGCGUUGUUCGGAAUUACUGGGCGUAAAGGGCUCGUAGGUGGCCAACUAAGUCGGACGUGAAAUCCCUCAGCUUAACUGGGGAACUGCGUCCGAUACUGGAAGGCUUGAAUCCGGGAGAGGGAUGUGGAAUUCCAGGUGUAGCGGUGAAAUGCGUAGAUAUCUGGAGGAACACCGGUGGCGAAGGCGACAUCCUGGACCGGUAUUGACGCUGAGGCGCGAAAGCAUGGGGAGCAAACAGG
rnacentral:rRNA from 1 species